ensembl:lncRNA
GCCACAUGAAACAUUUUUGCUGAAGCUGCUGCUAAGUCGCUUCAGUUGUGUUCGACUUUGUGCAACCCCAUAGACGGCAGCCCACCAGGCUCCCCCGUCCCUGGGAUUCUCCAGGCAAGAACACUGGAGUGGGUUGCCAUUUCCUUCUGCAAUGCAGGAAAGUGAAAAGUGAAAGUGAAGUCGCUCAGUCGUGUCCGACUCUUAGUCACCCCAUGGACUGCAGUCUACCAGGCUCCUCUGUCCAUCUGAUUUUCCAGAAAGAAAUAACCCGUGCAUGGAAGUGACUGUACGAAAAUACGAUUCUCAUAGCUGAGCCAGCUGUCUUGCAGUCACAUGGACAGAAGCUGCAGCAUUAAAGCCGAAGAGCUGGAAACUCAGUCCCACCUAACACAAAAGCCACUUGACCGCUUCUUCCCGCUGUUGCUCACACUAGAGCAGAAAUUCUCAUCACUGGCUACAUAUCAGAAUCAUUGAUGCUUUUAAACUGUGGUGAUGGAGAAGACUCUUGAGAGUCCCUUGGACUGCAAGGAGAUCCAACCAGUCCAUUCUGAAGGAGAUCAGCCCUGGGAUUUCUUUGGAAGGAAUGAUGCUAAAGCUGAAACUCCAGUACUUUGUCCACCUCAUGCG